GUGGUGCUGAAGAACCAGAUACACGUUGUGAACUCGAGUCGUCCCCUUCAACGUUUGGACCUGUUGCAAAAGUUCAAAGUCCUUGAACCGUUGGUUGUAGGCGGGCCCUCAGGAAACAUGGCGUCAUGAUCCACCUGAUGUCAUACACGCUGUCAGUGCAGCUUCCAGUCAGUGCUGUCAGAGACCUCCACCUGCUGGGCAAAGAGACAAAUGCGACAAGCUUGUAGCAGGUUUGACAGCCUUGGAUUCGUCACUGGACCAGGAGCAGCUUGGCCUGUUGGUGCUGAUGAUGCUCAGUGUUGCAGCCAAAGAUUCCAGUCUCCAGUGAAUCAACACUUGAAAGCAAGUUGAAAAAUGAAGAGCUCGUGCGGGAGCAGCGGAGAGUAAAAUGGAAUGACAUUUUUGAGUUGAACAGUCCUUGGGUCCACAACGCCGCAUGAGGAAGUAACUUGCUCCCCGCCAGAGUGCACAGAUCUGCAGGCCACACUUUAGCUUUUCAUCUUACUCUUAUUUGCAAGGCGCUGGAGCCUGAAAAGUAGAUGUGUACACUUUCAAUGCACCAGCAUGGCUACUUUUGACUUUUUUUUUUUUUUUUUUUUUUUUUUCCCCCCCCCUU